AAGUCGUAACAAGGUAUCCGUAGGUGAACCUGCGGAUGGAUCAUUAAGAGGUUAUCAAUCUUUGAUAUACCACUGUGGUGUAAUGUGUGUCGAAUUGGCGGCGAUGUUGUGUGCGUGUCCUUGGGCAUGCGCAUGCGCGCCGCCAGCAACAAACCCUAUUUUAAACUACUAGUUGUCUGAUUACUCUCUGUAAAGAAACAAUCUUAUACAACUGCUAGCAACGGAUCACUCGGCUCUC
rnacentral:misc_RNA from 1 species